rnacentral:rRNA from 1 species
GACGAACGCUGGCGGCGUGCCUAAUACAUGCAAGUAGAACGCUGAAGGAGGAGCUUGCUUCUCUGGAUGAGUUGCGAACGGGUGAGUAACGCGUAGGUAACCUGCCUGGUAGCGGGGGAUAACUAUUGGAAACGAUAGCUAAUACCGCAUAAUAGCAGUUAUUGCAUGAUAACUGUUUGAAAGGUGCAAUUGCACCACUACCAGAUGGACCUGCGUUGUAUUAGCUAGUUGGUGGGGUAACGGCUCACCAAGGCGACGAUACAUAGCCGACCUGAGAGGGUGAUCGGCCACAAUGGGACUGAGACACGGCCCAGACUCCUACCGGAGGCAGCAGUAGGGGAUCUUCGGCAAUGGAGGGAAGUCUGGACGAGCAACGCCGCGUGGGUGAAGAAGGUUUUCGGAUCGUAAAGCUCUGUUGUAAGGGAAGAACGAGUGUGAGAGUGGAAAGUUCACACUGUGACGGUAUCUUACCAGAAAGAGACGGCUAACUACGUG